CCUACGGGGGGCUGCAGUGGGGAAUAUUGGACAAUGGGGGGAACCCUGAUCCAGCCAUGCCGCGUGUGUGAAGAAGGCCCUCGGGUUGUAAAGCACUUCAGUGAGGAAGAACGCCUGGUGGUUAAUACCCAUCAGGAAAGACAUCACUCACAGAAGAAGCACCGGCUAACUCCGUGCCAGCAGCCGCGGUAAUACGGAGGGUGCGAGCGUUAAUCGGAAUUACUGGGCGUAAAGCGCGCGUAGGUGGCUUGAUAAGCCGGUUGUGAAAGCCCCGGGCUCAACCUGGGAACGGCAUCCGGAACUGUCAAGCUAGAGUGCAGGAGAGGAAGGUAGAAUUCCCGGUGUAGCGGUGAAAUGCGUAGAGAUCGGGAGGAAUACCAGUGGCGAAGGCGGCCUUCUGGACUGACACUGACACUGAGGUGCGAAAGCGUGGGUAGCAAACAGGAUUAGAUACCCUGGUAGUC
rnacentral:rRNA from 1 species